GUGUGAGUGGCCUCUUUUCAAAGGUGAGUGGGACUGAAUGAAGUCCAUUUAGAAUGCUGCCAGAGCUCUACUUUAUCAUGACUAUGCUGCUGCCAUAAUUUAGGGUUAAAAACAAGUCCUUAUCUCACUUAAUCAAAACAGAAUUAUAUAUCCCUUAGUUUUUCUGUUCAUCUUCAUUUUUGAGUUUUCAACUCAAUCUCUAUGAAUAUAAAAGGUUUAAUAAAAGAAGUGGCAACAGCUUAUUUUUUUGUUCACACUUUUUUCUAAACAGUGUUAAGUUCGUCCCUAAGAGGCAGCUACUCACAUCUGCGACUGUCAGCUGAGUCUGGAGCUGCCAGGGAGAGCUGAUCGGUACGUUUGAUGAGAAGAUAUGAUAUGAUAUAAGAUAUGAGAAGGAGUCCUGGAGCAGGGAGCUCCUGGAGGAGCUGAGGACUGCUCGUGGGGCCCCCGCUGUGCAGGAGCCGGUGAGCAGCAGAUCAGGGCCAUGAGCCGCCAGCAAUCCAUGGACAGACAGUGAGAAUCAGAGGAUUAGGCAUCGGGAGCUACAGCCACGUAAGCAGCACUUAACCCCAGAGCACUAUGUGUACUGCACAGCACAGAGACAGCACAACCCAUCACCACUGGUUCAGGAGCACUUACCUUGUGCACAAAGCUGGAAGACUGGAAAGUGGCGUUACCAGAAUUAUUGUUUGGGACUGAAAACCCCUGUGUUUUUACUUCUGCUAUACCAUUGCUGGUGUAGGAGUGGAUUGUUAUUAUUUGUAACAUUAUAAAUAGGCCACAAUAAACAGUCACAAUAAUUCAAAUAAGUAUGGUGCUUGUGUAAAGCCAGCGUGAGUAUUUUUGUUAUUUUUCUUACUGUUUCUACAUCUUUUUUCUCCACAACUCAAUGAACAGGCAA